CUUGUUUACAAGCAAACAACAUUUAUUUGAUCAUCGUGCAUAUGAAAAUGUGUGUAGUUGUGCUUUUUCCCAACCUACCAGUUGCCAUGAAGCCUUAGCUAUGCUUUUGACCAAGUCUAGUUGAAAAAAAAAUCUGUAAAUUCUCUUUUUUCAUUUUCGUUUGUCCAAUCAAAACUAAUACAAAUAAAGCCCUUGCCUGAGUUCAGUUGCUAAAUAGUAGCAAUUAAAGGGAUCUUUUCACGCUUUGGUAAAUUGACAAAAUUGAAAAAAGUUGUUUCAGAUUCGCAAAUUUUCGUUUUAGUUAUGAUAUUUGUGAGGAAACAGUAAUACUGAACAUUUACCAUGGUCUAAUAUAGCCAUUAUAUGCAUCUUUUGACGAUUUUAAAACCUAAAAAUUAUAAAGCGUUGCAACGCGAAACGAUUGAAUAAUUUGGAGAGUUCUGUUUUUGUCGUUAAAUUUUGUGAAACUACGAAGAUUGCUUAUAUAAGGUAUAAAAUACGUCAAGUAAGUGUACUCGGCGAAAUAGCUCAGUAGGCUAGAGCGUUUUUACUUCAGGACUCGGGCAGGACUCCAGGGGUCACUGGUUCGAAACCUGCUCCGGACAAUGUUCUUUUCCUUUUUUUUUAUUUUAUUCUUGAUUUUUUACUGAAGCCUUUACGAUCCAAUGUUUACAUUUAUCAAUAUAAAGCAUUUAAUGAAUGAAUUAAAAAAUGCCAAAAUCUGUGAAAAGGCCCCUUUAAUCUAAUAAUAAGGUUCACAGUCCUGUGAAUGUCUGGCCCUGUCAACCUGAAAAAAUCAUUGAGAUUGGAUACAGCAUCUGGAAUACAAGUUGAGAGUGAAACUUGUGCGUCUCAAACAUUACAGGAACUGAAAAACCUUUUUACUAUUAGAUACAUGAACAAAUUCACGCUUAACAAUCAAAAUAAAUGGACCACAUUUUAUACCUAAUGGAAGAACUCGCACCAAAAAGCUAAGGCUUCAGCCUGUCUGGUACCAAUUGUUAACCAG